AUUGAACGCUGGCGGCAGGCCUAACACAUGCAAGUCGAGCGGAUGAAGGGGGCUUGCUCCUGAUUCAGCGGCGGACGGGUGAGUAAUGCCUAGGAAUCUGCCUGGUAGUGGGGGAUAACGUCCGGAAACGGGCGCUAAUACCGCACACGUCCUGAGGGAGAAAGUGGGGGAUCUUCGGACCUCACGCUAUCAGAUGAGCCUAGGUCGGAUUAGCUAGUUGGUGGGGUAAAGGCCUACCAAGGCGACGAUCCGUAACUGGUCUGAGAGGAUGAUCAGUCACACUGGAACUGAGACACGGUCCAGACUCCUACGGGAGGCAGCAGUGGGGAAUAUUGGACAAUGGGCGAAAGCCUGAUCCAGCCAUGCCGCGUGUGUGAAGAAGGUCUUCGGAUUGUAAAGCACUUUAAGUUGGGAGGAAGGGCAGUAAGUUAAUACCUUGCUGUUUUGACGUUACCAACAGAAUAAGCACCGGCUAACUUCGUGCCAGCAGCCGCGGUAAUACGAAGGGUGCAAGCGUUAAUCGGAAUUACUGGGCGUAAAGCGCGCGUAGGUGGUUCAGCAAGUUGGAUGUGAAAUCCCCGGGCUCAACCUGGGAACUGCAUCCAAAACUACUGAGCUAGAGUACGGUAGAGGGUGGUGGAAUUUCCUGUGUAGCGGUGAAAUGCGUAGAUAUAGGAAGGAACACCAGUGGCGAAGGCGACCACCUGGACUGAUACUGACACUGAGGUGCGAAAGCGUGGGGAGCAAACAGGAUUAGAUACCCUGGUAGUCCACGCCGUAAACGAUGUCGACUAGCCGUUGGGAUCCUUGAGAUCUUAGUGGCGCAGCUAACGCGAUAAGUCGACAGCCUGGGGAGUACGGCCGCAAGGUUA
rnacentral:rRNA from 1 species